UACGGAGGGGGCGAGCGUUAUUCGGAAUUAUUGGCGUAAAGGGCGCGUAGGCGGCUUGACAAGUCAAAGGUGAAAUCCCUCGGCUCAACUGAGGAACUGCCUUUGAAACUGUCUGGCUUGAGGCCGGGAGGGGGUAGCGGAAUUCCCAGUGUAGCGGUGAAAUGCGUAGAUAUUGGGAGGAACACCAGUGGCGAAGGCGGCUACCUGGACCGGUUCUGACGCUGAUGCGCGAAAGCGUGGGUAGCAAACAGG
rnacentral:rRNA from 1 species